AGGAGAAGAAGGCUAAGAAGCUUCAAGCAAAGAAGAAUAAGAUGAAGGUUGAUGGUAAUGGGAAGAAAAAGAAGAACGGUGGAAGCGGGUUUCAGGUAGGGAAGAGGAAAUUGAAGACCAAGUUAACUGAAGCUGCUAAAGCCAAAGCAGCUCAAGCAAUGGAGCUCGACAAAUGAGGUUCGGUUCGUUCAUGUUGAGCUUCAUGGUUAUUUAAUUUAGAGGAUAUAUAUUCUUGUUAAAGAGAUUAAACCCUGAGAACAAACUUUUAGUAAAUUUCGCAAUUACCCUUUUAAUUUGACAGAUACUCAUCUCUAUUGUUUGAGUUUUACGAUC